rnacentral:rRNA from 1 species
AACGAACGCUGGCGGCAGGCUUAACACAUGCAAGUCGAACGCAUCCUUCGGGGUGAGUGGCAGACGGGUGAGUAACGCGUGGGAACGUGCCCUUGAGUGCGGGCUGACCCAGGGAAACUUGGGCUAAUACCGGAUACGUGCGAGAGCAGAAAGAUUUAUCGCUGAAGGAUCGGCCCGCGUCUGAUUAGCUAGUUGGUGGGGUAAUGGCCCACCAAGGCGACGAUCAGUAGCUGGUCUGAGAGGAUGAUCAGCCACAUUGGGACUGAGACACGGCCCAAACUCCUACGGGAGGCAGCAGUGGGGAAUAUUGGACAAUGGGCGCAAGCCUGAUCCAGCCAUGCCGCGUGAGUGAUGAAGGCCUUAGGGUUGUAAAGCUCUUUCGUCCGGGACGAUAAUGACGGUACCGGAAGAAGAAGCCCCGGCUAACUUCGUGCCAGCCGCCGCUGUAA